AAGUAGCUGACUAUCAGUUGUGCAGCUUUAGACUCAUAACCUGAAGGUCGGUGGUUCAAAUCCACCCCCGCA
rnacentral:tRNA from 1 species